rnacentral:tRNA from 1 species
GAGGGUAUAGCUUAGUGGUAGAGUGUGUGCUUAGUGUGCAUGAGAGGUCCUGGGUUCAAUCCCCAGUACCUGCA